ACACACACACAAAAAGGAAAAAAAGAUUUUUUUUUUCUGGAUCUGCCACUGAAAAGAAGAUGUAGGUAGGCCGUAAAUAUAGAUAUGAUGGUUGCUAUUUUUACACAGUAAAAAUGUUAGGCUGUAAAUACAGAUACAAUGGUUGCUAUUUCUGCACAGGUGGUAGCCUUGAGGAAGCUAGAAAUAGGAUAAAUGCAGGUGACACAAAAAAUUCGAGAUGGUGUUUUCUUUGUUUUUGUUGGAACCAGAAAUGUUACCGAUGAUCCGUAGUAUUUCACCAUAUAUAGGGGUACCAGCAGAGCUUUAAGAAAUGCUUCUUGAAGUAAGUGUAAAAAGAACAAAUAACCUGGCUAUUAUUGCGUUCAUGCUUGUUCCAUUAUCUCAUUCUUCGGUUGGGAUUCCUACCAAAUGAGUUGCUCUUCUUCCUUGAAAAUUUCAGUUAAUAAAACCUGUGCAAAACCACCUUCUGCACUUUGAAUCUCGGUCCUAUAUUUAAAAAGCAUAGAUUCAUAGUUCCCCUCGGUAAUCUCAAAGUCAUCAGUAAACCUGCCAUGACUGAAAAAGUACUUUCACAUGGUUACACUUUUGCAAACAAUUCUACUGAUGUUUUGGAGAUUCUUUUCGUAUUUGAGAUUGUUGGGAGAUUGGCUUCUUCUGCUGUGCACAUUGGCUGACAAAAAGUUGCCUACUUGUUUUGUAGAGAAUACCUGGAUGGUGGAGAUGGUACUACUGGGCCAAUCCAGUGUCUUGGAGUCUAUAUGGCCUUCUGACUUCUCAAUUUGGGGACAUUGAUAAACCCAUGGUUCUUUCAGAUGGUGUUAACACAAAGACUAUAAAAGCAUUUCUUGAGGACCACUUCGGUUUCAAUCAUGAAUUCUUGGGUGUUGUAGGAAUCAUGGUGGUCGGUUUCUGCGUAUUAUUUGCUGUGAUUUUUGCUCUGGCCAUCAAAAUCCUUAACUUCCAACGAAGAUAGAAACGAGAACAGACUUGUAUAAUUUUUUCAAACAGACACUUGAUGUGUUUUGAGCUAUGGAGAAGGUCCUGCCGAGAGUAAACUGUAUAGUGGCAGCAAUUAUUCGUAAUGAGAUUGCCCAGUCCUAAAUUAAUUCCUUUUUCUUUUUACUAAGAGCUGCAGUUGCCACAGUCCUGUUUGUGUAAUUCUGUCCUAAAAAAAGAUGUGUACUUGUAGCAUACUUUCUCCCCCCCUCUUGAACUCAGUGAAAUCUAAAGGCAUGAAGAUAUGUAUUAUUUUGGGUUUGUAUGUACGCACCAAAAUAUUAAAUGAAGUUCUAUUGGCAUCACAUA